UAGGCUAUUUAAAACUCUUUUAGGGGUUGCUCUCUCAGCGGGUGGGGAGGUGGUGUGUUUGCGGGGUCAGAGGCUGUCGCCGUGGUUUCCCAGCUUCGGGGGCUGCUGGCUGUACUGCGCUGCUACAGAUCCCAUAUGGGAAGAUGUUACUUAUUUGAGACAAAGCUACAAACAAUUCCCCCACAAUCCUCAGGCUGCGCUAGAUGAUGAAAGAAGUUCCAUCAGAAACGCUGGUGGGAGAAGCUGAUAGACACUUAUGCCAUCAUGUUGCUGUACGCUUCUGUGGGAGAACUUAUCUUGGGCCGCAUAUCUCCGGGACACAGGGCUCUACCCACCCUGGGGACAGUGAUGCACAGACAUCAAUAUGAUGGAUGCAAAAUGUCCGUUUAUUUGGCUGCGUCACACGCUUAUAUAGCUCUUGCGCUUCCUGUUCCUGCCACUCCUAUGGGGAGGAGUCUAUCUUUCCGUCACAGCCCAUGAUCUUCCGGUCGCCGAUCCAUGUCUAUUUCCCUACACCGUCACCCUCAUAUUAGUUGAUGAAAUGUUGGCUUUAACUGAUCUAAGAGAAGAGUGGAAGGAAAAAUUUUCCACUUCAUAUAAUUGGAUUUUGAUUGAGGUUUCCAAGGGUCUUGUAAGUUUCAGUUGAUUUGAAUGUUCCUCACAAUUUGUGAACACAAUUUGUGUUCCAUCAUAAUUUGUAUGCAUAAGGGAAGUUAAUAAAGUUCGAUGAAAAAAGUUAGGUUUGACAUUAUGUAACUUGAAUGUUUGAACUUGCAAAUGGAGCAUUUUCUCAGAGUACUUUUUGUAUUUGAUUUCCUUAAUUAAAAAGGGAAGAUGGCAACUGUC